UGGGGAAUCUUGCGCAAUGGGCGAAAGCCUGACGCAGCCAUGCCGCGUGAGUGAUGAAGGCCUUAGGGUUGUAAAACUCUUUCACCGGGGACGAUAAUGACGGUACCCGGAGAAGAAGCCCCGGCUAACUUCGUGCCAGCAGCCGCGGUAAUACGAAGGGGGCUAGCGUUGCUCGGAAUUACUGGGCGUAAAGGGCGCGUAGGCGGAUCAGCAAGUUGGGGGUGAAAGCCCGGGGCUCAACCUCGGAAUUGCCUUCAAAACUGCUGAUCUAGAGUACGGGAGAGGUGUGUGGAACUCCGAGUGUAGAGGUGAAAUUCGUAGAUAUUCGGAAGAACACCAGUGGCGAAGGCGACACACUGGCCCGUUACUGACGCUGAGGCGCGAAAGCGUGGGGAGCAAACAGGAUUAGAUACCCUGGUAGUCCACGCUGUAAACGAUGAUUGCUAGUUGUCGGCAGGCAUGCCUGUCGGUGACGCAGCUAACGCAUUAAGCAAUCCGCCUGGGGAGUACGGUCGCAAGAUUAAAAACUUAAAUGAAUUGACGGGGUCAUAGCUGUUU
rnacentral:rRNA from 1 species